rnacentral:rRNA from 1 species
GACGAACGCUGGCGGCGUGCUUAACACAUGCAAGUCGAACGAAGUGGCGAACGGGUGAGUAACGCGUAAUCAAACUGCCCUUCAGAGGGGGACAACAGUUGGAAACGACUGCUAAUACCGAAUACUGAAGUAGGGGGUUGCGUCUGAAUAGCUAGUUGGAGGGGUAACGGCCCACCACGGCGAGGAUCAUGAGGCGGUCUGAGAGGAUGAACGGCCACAUUGGGACUGAGACACGGCCCAGACUCCUACGGGAGGCAGCAGUGGGGAAUCUUCCGCAAUGGACGAAAGUCUGACGGAGCAACGCCGCGUGAGUGAUGACGGCCUUCGGGUUGUAAAGCUCUGUUAAUCGGGACGCGGUACCGGAAUAGAAAGCCACGGCUAACUACGUGCCAGCAGCCGCGGUAAUUC